ACGAACGCUGGCGGCGUGCUUAACACAUGCCAGUCGCACGGAAAGGCCCUGCUUUUGUGGGGUGCUCGAGUUGCGAACGGGUGAGUAACACGUGAGUAACCUGCCCUUGACUUUGGGAUAACUUCAGGAAACUGGGGCUAAUACCGGAUAGGAGCUCCUGCUGCAUGGUGGGGGUUGGAAAGUUUCGGCGGUUGGGGAUGGACUCGCGGCUUAUCAGCUUGUUGGUGGGGUAGUGGCUUACCAAGGCUUUGACGGGUAGCCGGCCUGAGAGGGUGACCGGCCACAUUGGGACUGAGAUACGGCCCAGACUCCUACGGGAGGCAGCAGUGGGGAAUAUUGCACAAUGGGCGGAAGCCUGAUGCAGCAACGCCGCGUGCGGGAUGACGGCCUUCGGGUUGUAAACCGCUUUCGCCUGUGACGAAGCGUGAGUGACGGUAAUGGGUAAAGAAGCACCGGCUAACUACGUG
rnacentral:rRNA from 1 species